GACAGAGGCCCCGAGCGUUAGGCGGAAUCACUGGGCUUAAAGCGUGUGUAGGCGGAUCGUUAAGUGUCUUGUGAAAUCCCACGGCUCACCCGUGGAACUGCUGGGCAUACUGGCGAUCUUGGGCCGUUCAGGGGCGACUGGAACAAGCGGUGGAGCGGUGAAAUGCGUAGAUAUCGCUUGGAACGCCGAAGGUGAAAACAGGUCGCUGGGGACGCGCCGACGCUGAGACAUGAAAGCCAGGGGAGCAAACGGG
rnacentral:rRNA from 1 species